CGGAAAUCCUCGUCCAGUGUUCUACCUCACCUUCUGCAGAGCCUCCUGAUUUUGUUGAGAACCAAAGGAGGAUAUGGAACUACUUGAUUGAGUAUCCAGAUUGGAGCCAUACUUUUCCAGGAAGAAAACCGCGUGUAUUUGAACGAGCGGCCAACGGAGGGUGGUCCAGGUGUGGAUAAUUUACCAUCUUGCCAAUUUCAGCAUGAUUCGUUUCUUCACAACGGUACGUCACUGGUUGAAAUUACGUAGUUGUCGCCUCUGCGGCACUCUGAAACAAACUAAAAAUUGCAUGUUUGAGCUCUCGGGCUCAAAAUCACUAGAAGAGAAUGUUCUACGUUAAAACUCUGUGCUCGUCGAGAUUCGUAGCUGCCGUGUAAUAUUGAGUAAACUUGUUGUACAAACAUAAAAAAGAUUGUAAAACUUUUUACUGCAUAAACGAAAGACCGUGGAACAACAUAGUAAGCCAAUAUUUACCGCAGGCGAUAUAUAGUUUCA